rnacentral:rRNA from 1 species
AACGCGAAGAACCUUACCUGGGCUCGAAGCGUAGUGGACUGAGGUAGAAAUAUCUUUUUCCCGCAAGGGACUGCUACGUAGGUGCUGCAUGGCUGUCGUCAGCUCGUGUCGUGAGAUGUUGGGUUAAGUCCCGCAACGAGCGCAACCCUUAUCCCUAGUUGCCAUCGGGUCAAGCCGGGCACUCUAGUGAAACCGCCCCGGAUAACGGGGAGGAAGGUGGGGAUGACGUCAAGUCCUCAUGGCCUUUAUGUCCAGGGCUACACACGUGCUACAAUGGUCGGUACAAACCGUCGCAAACCCGCGAGGGGGAGCUAAUCGGAAAAAGCCGACCUCAGUUCGGAUUGGAGUCUGCAACUCGACUCCAUGAAGCUGGAAUCGCUAGUAAUCGCGGAUCAGAACGCCGCGGUGAAUACGUUCCCGAGCCUUGUACACACCGCAUAC